rnacentral:rRNA from 1 species
CAGUAGCCGCGGGAAUACGUAGGUGGCAAGCGUUGUCCGGAAUUAUUGGGCGUAAAGGGCUCGCAGGCGGUUUCUUAAGUCUGAUGUGAAAGCCCCCGGCUCAACCGGGGAGGGUCAUUAGAAACUGGGAAACUUGAGUGCAGAAGAGGAGAGUGGAAUUCCACGUGUAGCGGUGAAAUGCGUAGAGAUGUGGAGGAACACCAGUGGCGAAGGCGACUCUCUGGUCUGUAACUGACGCUGAGGAGCGAAAGCGUGGGGAGCGAACAGGAUUAGAUACCCGGGUAGUCCCUGUCUCUUAUAC